UACGUAGGGUGCAGGCGUUAAUCGGAAUUACUGGGCGUAAAGCGUGCGCAGGCGGUCUUUUAAGUCAGAUGUGAAAUCCCCGGGCUUAACCUGGGAACUGCGCUUGUAACUGGCAAGCUAGAGUGUGGCAGAGGGGGGUGGAAUUCCACGUGUAGCAGUGAAAUGCGUAGAGAUGUGGAGGAACACCGAUGGCGAAGGCAGCCCCCUGGGCUAACACUGACGCUCAUGCACGAAAGCGUGGGGAGCAAACAGG
rnacentral:rRNA from 1 species